AACCCAAUAGGAGUCUUAAUUUAUUUCUUAACCUUUGCUAUGUAAGGGUCUUUGGUGUUUUUAAAUGAUUGUUUCUUCUUCAUGCU
rfam:Homo sapiens chromosome 8, GRCh38 reference primary assembly.